AAACCAACAGGGAUUACCUCAGUAACGGCGAGUGAAGCGGUAACAGCUCAAAUUUGAAAUCUGGGUCUUUCAGGCUCCGAGUUGUAAUUUGUAGAAGAUGCUUCGGGUGCGGCUCCGGUCUAAGUUCCUUGGAACAGGACGUCAUAGAGGGUGAGAAUCCCGUAUGUGAUCGGUUGCUUGCGCCCAUGUGAAGCUCUUUCGACGAGUCGAGUUGUUUGGGAAUGCAGCUCAAAAUGGGUGGUAAAUUUCAUCUAAAGCUAAAUAUUGGCCAGAGACCGAUAGCGCACAAGUAGAGUGAUCGAAAGAUGAAAAGCACUUUGGAAAGAGAGUUAAACAGUACGUGAAAUUGUUGAAAGGGAAGCGCUUGCAACCAGACUUGCGCGUUGCCGAUCAUCCGGGGUUCUCCCCGGUGCACUCGGCCUCGCUCAGGCCAGCAUCGGUUUUGGUGGUGGGAUAAAGGCCUUGGGAAUGUAGCUCCUUUCGGGGAGUGUUAUAGCCCUCGGUGCAAUGCCGCCUACCGGGACCGAGGACCGCGCUCGGCUAGGAUGAAAAAGUAUUCCCCCUCAGAUUA
rnacentral:rRNA from 1 species